rnacentral:rRNA from 1 species
CUAACAAGGAUUCCCCUAGUAACUGCGAGUGAAGCGGGAAGAGCUCAAAUUUAAAAUCUGGCGUGCCUCUGGUCGUCCGAGUUGUAGUCUGGAGAAGCGUCUUCCGUGUUGGACCGUGUAUAAGUCUCUUGGAACAGGGCGUCAUAGAGGGUGAGAAUCCCGUCUUUGACACGGACUACCAAUGCUUUGUGAUGCGCUCUCAAAGAGUCGAGUUGUUUGGGAAUGCAGCUCAAAAUGGGUGGUAAAUUCCAUCUAAAGCUAAAUAUAGGCGAGAGACCGAUAGCGAACAAGUACCGUGAGGGAAAGAUGAAAAGCACUUUGGAAAGAGAGUUAAACAGUACGUGAAAUUGCUGAAAGGGAAACGCUUGAAGUCAGUCACGUCUGCCAGGACUCAGCCUUGCUUCUGCUUGGUGUACUUUCUGGUUUGAUGGGCCAACAUCAAUUUUGACCGUUGGAGAAAGGCUUUGGGAAUGUGGCACCUUCGGGUGUGUUAUAGCCCUUUGUCGUAUGCAACGGUUGGGAUUGAGGACUGCAGCACGCCUUCAUGGCCGGGGUUCGCCCACGUACGUGCUUAGGGUGUUGGCAUAAUGGCUUUAAGCGACCCGUCUUGAAACACGGACCAAGGAGUCUAACAUGCCUGCGAGUGUUUGGGUGGAAAACCCAUGCGCGUAAUGAAAGUGACAGCUGAGAUCCUCUCAUCAGGAGCAUCAGUGCCUGGACUUGAUCUACGGAGACGGUUCUACGGUGGAGCAUGUAUGUUGGGACCCGAAAGAUGGUGAACUAUGCCUGAAUAGGGUGAAGCCAGAGGAAACUCUGGUGGAGGCUCGUAGCGAUUCUGACGUGCAAAUCGAUCGUCAAAUUUGGGUAUAGGGGCGAAAGACUAAUCGAACC